UUCUGGGCCGUAGUGCUGAAGACGUGACAGAGCAAAACAUUCCUCGCAAAGUGCCUGGAUUGGAAGGAAUCUCAAUUACAAAAAUUGUUUGUGGAUAUUCGCAUGCCCUGGCUUUAUCCAACGAUGGAAAAAUCUUCUCUUGGGGAUCGAACGGAUCAGGCCAGCUGGGAGUAGGAACCGUUAAAAGUUCACACCGACCAACUAUGAUAUCUGGAAAUUUCGGCAGGAUCAAAGACGUAGCUGCUCAUUUCGCUUACUUUGUCAGUGCUGCAAUUACAGAAGCAGAUGAAGUGUUCGCUUGGGGAAAAUUCAACGGCCAAAAACACCUGAUUCCGACAAAAACCUCAUUCACAUCCCUGGAUGAAGUUUUUGCGAAACUUCUAAUUCCGGCCUUGACAUUGCGGCCAUUGCGUCCAAAAAAUUAUUGCUGACGCAAGCAGAUUGAAUAAUUUAUUUAAAUUGUGGUCCUUCAUUAUAUAUCCAAUAAAUAAUUUAAUAUUUACGCAUUUAGGACGUGUGUCAUCUUAGG